GGCUCCUUCUGGUUUAGAAGUGAACCAUUCCUAGUUCUUCUAAGAUUUUUGAAUUUGCAUAUACAUUUAUUCUGGGCACUAAGCUCCUCGUGAGGGCCCCAGCCUCAAGACCUCAUCUAAACCUAGUUACCUCCCAAAGGCCUUAUUUCCAAAACUCAUAAUAUUUGGGGUUGGUGAGAUUUUCGUGGGAAGAACACCUAUUGCUGCAUUGGGCUGAGUGAACCAACUGUCCAUCAAGUCUAAUGGGAGAACAUUUCCCCUAGUUCAGCUGGGCUGAUACAGAAGGCUGUGUCAAGGUUGUAAUGGAAGUAAGUGGUGGUGCUGGGACUCUAGAACACAUCCUCUGACUCUAUGUAACAUCAUCUCCCUAUCCAUGCAACAGAAGAGUGGGAAGAAGAAUCUGGCAAUGGCAGCCAAAACCACCUUCUGCUUUAUCUGCCCCUACUUCUCUGCAUGGCAAACUUAUACUAAUCUUCCAGGUCUCAGGGUAGAUGCUGAUUCAAUGGAAAGAAAGACCUUCUCUGGGCAUGAGCACUACCUGUAAGAUAAAGAAAUCAGCCAGCCCCAGAGACAGUCUAUAAGAGGAAAGAGAAAGGAUGAACAAAGGGAGAAAACUGGAGAAUCAGAGAUCUGACUCUGAUGGCACCCCGUUGAAGCAUGAGAUCAACCCUGCAGCAUGGUGAAGUCAAAUGAGAGAGUGUGGCAGGAAAUGAAGCAUCUUGUCACUUGCCUCCUGUGACUUUCUCAUAUGUACCCUACAUGUCACCCAUGUUGGCUUACUUUCUCAUAUGGCCAUACAAUUUAAACGACCUACUUCCUGCUUUUGAAGGGUCUUCCCUUCUUUCUACUGUUUGAUAUUCUUGUUAUCCUCAAAGUCUUGCCUCAAGCACCAUCUUCUCUGGGAAGGCUUCCUUGAUGCCCUGCCAUCCCUUCAGGCAAAACUGGGUCCUCCCUUUUAUUGGCUGCUGUUGUACUCAGUUGCAUACCUUUAUUGGAGUGUAUAAACAUAUGUAUUGCAACUGUCCCUCAGUCACCAGAUUAUACAGUAGAUAAUAAAGCUGAAUGAAUGACUGGGGUGAAUGACUGAAGCAGGAUCAUCACAGAUUGGAAUCCAAGAAUAAAUUGAUGGCCAUGUUUAUUCUUCAGUGUGACCUUUUGUUAUGUCCUGAGCUCUUUCCUCCUUAGCUUCAAAUCUAUACUGCUUCAAGACUGGCCUUGCAAAACUCGCCUUAAGGUACAAACUUUUAGCUAUAAGAUAAAUAAAAUCUGAA